AGCAGCCGCGGUAAUUCCAGCUCCAAUAGCGUAUAUUAAAGUUGUUGCAGUUAAAAAGCUCGUAGUUGAAUUUCGGGGUUCUACCGUUGGUCGGGCAAUAGUCUGUACUGGCGUGUGGAAUUUCUACCUUCUGGGGAACCAUCAUGUUAUUAAUUUAGCGUGGUGGGAAACCAGGACCUUUACCUUGAAAAAAUUAGAGUGUUCAAAGCAGGCUUACGUCUGAAUACAUUAGCAUGGAAUAAUAAAAUAGGACGGUGGUCCUGUUUUGUUGGUUUCUGAAUCACCGUAAUGAUUAAUAGGGAUAGUUGGGGGCAUUAGUAUUCAAUUGUCAGAGGUGAAAUUCUUGGAUUUAUUGAAGACUAACUUCUGCGAAAGCAUUUGCCAAGGAUGUUUUCAUUAAUCAAGAACGAAAGUUAGGGGAUCGAAGACGAUCAGAUACCGUCGUAGUCUUAACCAUAAACUAUGCCGACUAGGGAUCGGACGAUGUUAAUUUUUCUUGACUCGUUCGGCGCCUUACGGG
rnacentral:rRNA from 1 species